rnacentral:piRNA from 1 species
UACCUACCCAGAGAUGUUAUCGAGCCAUU